rnacentral:rRNA from 1 species
UGGCCAUAAUUUAUUGCUCUAACUGUGGAUAGUUGAGAGCUAGAUAGAUAGAUAUGUCUGCCUGCUUACGCGCGCGUUUCGGUGUCCCUUCAGAUCAGCACCUUGGACUUUUGUCCCAGGCCGCGAUCGACGAGACGGGCGCCACCAUUGACUACCGCCGCGGCCUCCCCCUCCUCUUCCGCGGCUGCCCUGUGGGAGACGAGGCCCACGACUCCGCUCUGUUUAUGUGCGUGCCCGAGAUGGGCCGCGUCUACCUCCGCGAGGCCCGGUACACGCCGCGCGAGUAGGGCAGCGACGGCGGCCUCCUCCGGGAGCUGCCCGCGUCCCUGUGCGGUGCGCUGUUCCUGGAGCUCGCCAAGAUGGAGCGUAGGCCGCGGCUGAGGUGGUAAGGGCUGCUCCAACGCCUCGACCGGAAGUGGGCCACGCACACCCUCCGCCCCCACGACCACGUGCAGUGCGAGACCGAUGACACGUGCGCCGAGCCGUGCGACCGCGACACGCCGGCCGACACGCAGAGGCCGCUCAAGGGCAUGCACGCGGCGAAGCGGCUGUACGGCCACCCCGCCGCCCUCCUCCGCGAGUCCGCCACCUGGUUCCGCGCCACCGAGUAGGAGCAGUUCUAGCGGAAGCGGUAGCAGUUCUCGGAGACGAAGUUGCAGAAGAUGUGGUUCCACCAGCUUUUGAGACUCUUGGGUACGACCUUUCGUUGUCCCAAGUCGCACGGCUUGCACUUUCUCGUUGCUUUCUUUGUAGGCUGCCUUCGCUGAUGGGACGCCGGAGACCUGUCGCCGCAGCACCUCUGGUCCCUCGACCUGCUGCGGCGGGACGAGUGUAGUGAGCGCCUCUUCCCGGAGCGCCAUUUCGGCCGGUGCAGCCCGCUAAUAGUGCGCCACCUUACGCUACAGCGGUAGCAGCCAAGUCCGACGCCGCCACCGCACCGGCGGCGCCACGAGCGCAGGCGCCCCGUGUUCCACGAACAGCAGCUCUUCCCUCUGAUGAAGUGGGGGCUACUAAUGUCGAGUCAGCUCCCGGGCAGCUACCUCGCGGAGAUGCUCGUCCCUCCGUAGAAGACGUGCAGGUUGCACUGCUGGCAGAACAUGCGGCCGUGGUGGCAGCCGCCGCCGAGCCGCCACUUGACCAGGCGGUCGUAGGCGUGCGGUGCCCUCUAGGACGUCCUCACCAGCGCGCUAGUGCCCGAGGGGCACAAGCCCUCGCGCCGGAUGCACGUCCGGUACCUGCGGCACACGCGGGCCGAGCGGCACUGGCUGCCCACAGCCCUCCUUCCCAAGGUCUUGUUCCACCACGCGGCGCCCACGCUCCGCGAGCCCGACGGACAACUGGCGCACGGCGCGUUGAGCAGUCUCCCGGUGGUGACGCCCUCGACGAUGGACCCCACGGGUUGGCCGCUGUUCGCGCCGUGGCUGUGCUGCACCGAGCAGCUGCGGCAGCUCGUGCCGCGCCACUAGGACCGGCCCACGUUCCGGCUCGCGGAGUAGAAGGUCUUGUUAUCGCCGUUCUUGCCGGCCUCGUUCUUUACGCAGCCGGACCACCGCUGCACGUACUCGUUGCCGUAGUGGUUCUUCGACGCGUAGCUCCGGUUCCACAGGUAGAGCCGCACGCCCCGCGAGUACUGCGGCGGCGACGAGGCAUUGUCGCCCGAGUCUUUGGCCGUGCAGCCGGCCUUGGACGUGGAGGUGGGCCACAGGUACCGCACCCCCAUGAAGGGCCUGUGCUUGGUCCUCGGGGUCGAGUGGCCGUUCACGAUGCUCCCGCCGUAGUAGUGCUCGUACGUGGCGCAGUGACUCGCGUGGUAGUAGCUCUGCGGCCGUGACCCCGGCCCCCGGAAGCGGAGCAACCAGGGCACCCUUAGCCCGGCGCUGUACUUCCUCUCCUACGCGGCCAUGUGCGCGUGGCGCGUGCGCAAGCGCGACCAGGCGCUGGUGCGGCGCCCCUCGCACAUGCCGCUCCCGGCGCACGUGAUGUCGGGCUCGGCGCCGCUGUAGCUCCUCGAGGCUCUGCCGGACGCGGCGCGGGACGCGUAGUACCACCGGAGGCCGCGCCGGCUCCACCCGUGCGUGGCGUCGCUGCCCGACGCCGACGCCACGUUCCCGCACGUCCUGUUCCUGGACCUCCGCAAGGACCUGCUCCACUGGCACCGCUCCCCGGGCUACGUCGGCCCGUGCCUGUGCACCCGCGAGGAGACGAGCCGCGUGGUCUACCCGUCGACGGCCUACCCGAGGUCGGGGUUCCUCCCGCGGCAGCUGCCGUCUCCGCUCUCGACCCUCCGGCUCCCGGACAUGCAGACGCUGCCGUCGGAGGAGGGCUGACGGCAACCACACUUGGGGUACUAGUGCUAUGUCAGAGAGCGGAUGACGGAGAGGUACCUGUAGCGGCUCAGGAACCGCAUCUCGCCCUUUGUCGUCACCUCGUACAUACUACACACAACUAACAACCAAUUAGUUCACGUUAGGCGUGUCCAUGUGACAGGUGUUGACGUCGACUAAGUACUGUGUAAACAUACAUUAACGAAAAAAAAUGGCGUUUGUAAAAGUACACUAACAACCAAGUUAACAACUACAAGUUAACAAAAGAAUGAGUGGUCCAAUCUUAAUUGCUCGACAACCGAUCAAUGCUCGGCCGAUCGAUUCGAACUCGAAAUUGAGCACUGGCGACUUGAGCCAUAUUGAAUUGCUCCGUUUUUCGGGACGAGCUAAUACAACCAAACUUCGAACAUUAGAAAAAAAAAUUGACAACUUCGGAUAUUCGAAUUGUUCGAACGCCCCUUUAGUUAACUACACCCCUACGCGAAUACCGGCUCCGUGACCAGAAUGACAAACCAGAGUUAAACUGUUUAUGUCAGCCAACAUUGGCGUAUCUCCACUUGAAGCUAUUGAAACUCCACUGUUUCUAUUUCUUCUUACUUCCAGCGAGAAAGCCAGAUAGCCACUGUCAAAAACUACUAUAUAGUGUAACGCAUACUGAAAAGCGUAUAAUACAAACUCGUACGAGGGUUUUUCAGAUUAACACGACGGGUACUAAAUCGGUUUGAUCU